rnacentral:rRNA from 1 species
UACGUAGGGUGCGAGCGUUAAUCGGAAUUACUGGGCGUAAAGUGUGCGCAGGCGGCCGCGCAAGUCGAGUGUGAAAGCCCCCGAGCUUAACUUGGGAAUUGCGCUCGAAACUACGUGGCUGGAGUGUGGCAGAGGAAGGUGGAAUUCCAGGUGUAGCGGUGAAAUGCGUAGAGAUCUGGAGGAACACCAGUGGCGAAGGCGACUUUCUGGUCUGUAACUGACACUGAGGCGCGAAAGCGUGGGGAGCAAACAGGG